rnacentral:lncRNA from 1 species
UCUUGGCAAAGGCAAUAAAAAUGAUGCAUGCAGAUCGACUCCUGACUCUCACUGGCUGAGAGUUUUAAAUAGGAACACGUCUGAAUGGCAGUGAAUUUUUCAGUAAGCUUAUUGUUCACUUACACAAUCUGCUUGCCAGCAGCACCAAGACCCAUGUGUGGACAACCGGCCUCUCCACACGCUUGGCUGCUAACACCCUGGAGUGGGCGGUGGCGGCGUGUCCUCUUGAAUAAGUUUUCAGGCUAAUAUCUCAAACUUAGCACAGUUAAAUGUCAUAUUCUUGAGGGAUGAAUUGAGAACUUCCUGUCUAUGUGCAGCGUGAUAGUGCCACAUAAAGUCUCUGAUAAUGUAAAAACACUUUCCCAGACAAGUUCUCCUUCAGCUUUUGUUCGGAGCUUAAUUAUGGCAACUAAUAUCAUUCUGUACACAUAGCGGAGGUUUAUUUUGCAUAGUGAUUUUUUCACAGUCGUUUUAAUG